CCUACGGGAGGCAGCAGUGGGGAAUUUUGGACAAUGGGGGCAACCCUGAUCCAGCCAUUCCGCGUGAGUGAAGAAGGCCUUCGGGUUGUAAAGCUCUUUCGCAAGGGAAGAAAACUUAUGAUCGAAUAAAUCAUGAGGUUGACGGUACCUUGAUAAGAAGCACCGGCUAACUACGUGCCAGCAGCCGCGGUAAUACGUAGGGUGCGAGCGUUAAUCGGAAUUACUGGGCGUAAAGCGUGCGCAGGCGGUUUUGUAAGUCGGAUGUGAAAUCCCCGGGCUCAACCUGGGAACUGCGUUCGAAACUGCAAGGCUAGAGUGUGUCAGAGGGGGGUAGAAUUCCACGUGUAGCAGUGAAAUGCGUAGAGAUGUGGAGGAAUACCAAUGGCGAAGGCAGCCCCCUGGGAUAACACUGACGCUCAUGCACGAAAGCGUGGGGAGCAAACAGGAUUAGAUACCCUGGUAGUCUACGCCCUAAACGAUGUCAACUAGUUGUUGGUAGAGUAAAAUCUAUGAGUAACGUAGCUAACGCGUGAAGUUGACCGCCUGGGGGAGGUACGGUCGCGAAGAAUUAAAACUAACGAAAGAAAGUUAGACGGCGUGAGACGUGCCGACGGACGACGACGAGGGAGGAGG
rnacentral:rRNA from 1 species